CCUACGGGUGGCAGCAGUGGGGAAUAUUGCGCAAUGGGGGAAACCCUGACGCAGCAACGCCGCGUGAGUGAGGAAGUAUCUCGGUAUGUAAAGCUCUAUCAGCGGGGAAGAAAGAGGACGGUACCCGACUAAGAAGCCCCGGCUAACUACGUGCCAGCAGCCGCGGUAAUACGUAGGUGGCAAGCGUUAUCCGGAUUUACUGGGUGUAAAGGGCGUGUAGGCGGGAAAGCAAGUCAGAUGUGAAAACCAUGGGCUCAACCUGUGGCCUGCAUUUGAAACUGUUUUUCUUGAGUACUGGAGAGGCAGACGGAAUUCCUAGUGUAGCGGUGAAAUGCGUAGAUAUUAGGAGGAACACCAGUGGCGAAGGCGGUCUGCUGGACAGCAACUGACGCUGAGGCGCGAAAGCGUGGGGAGCAAACAGGAUUAGAUACCCCAGUAGUC
rnacentral:rRNA from 1 species